rnacentral:rRNA from 1 species
AAACGCUUGAAGUCAGUCGCGUCGUUCAGGAUUCAGCCUUGCUUUUGCUUGGUGCACUUCCUGUUCGAUGGGUCAGCAUCAGUUUUGGCCGGUGGAUAAAGGCUCAGAGAAUGUGGCAUCUUCGGAUGUGUUAUAGCCUUUACUUGCAUACAGUGGUUGGGAUUGAGGAACUCAGCACGCCGCAAGGCCGGGUUUCGACCACGUUCGUGCUUAGGAUGCUGGCAUAAUGGCUUUAAUCGA